CCCUGUAAUAAGUGCACUGUAUAAUACAUUGGUACUCAGAAGGUUGCUGGUUUGAUCCCCACAGUCACCACCAUUGUGUCCUUGAGUAAGACACUUAACUCCAGGUUGCUCCGGGGGGAUUGUCCCUGUAAUAAGUGCUCUGUAUAAUACAUUGGUAAUCAGAAGGUUGCUGGUUUGAUCCCCACAGUCACCACCAUUGUGUCCUUGAGUAAGACACUUAACUCCAGGUUGCUCCGGGGGGAUUGUCCCUGUAAUAAGUGCACUGUAUAAUACAUUGGUACUCAGAAGGUUGCUGGUUUGAUCCCCACAGUCACCACCAUUGUGUCCUUGAGUAAGGCACUUAACUCCAGGUUGCUCCGGGGGGAUUGUCCCUGUAAUAAGUGCACUGUAUAAUACAUUGGUACUCAGAAGGUUGCUGGUUUGAUCCCCACAGUCACCACCAUUGUGUCCUUGAGUAAGGCACUUAACUCCAGGUUGCUCCGGGGGGAUUGUCCCUGUAAUAAGUGCACUGUAUAAUACAUUGGUACUCAGAAGGUUGCUGGUUUGAUCCCCACAGUCACCACCAUUGUGUCCUUGAGUAAGACACUUAACUCCAGGUUGCUCCGGGGGGAUUGUCCCUGUAAUAAGUGCUCUGUAUAAUACAUUGGUACUCAGAAGGUUGCUGGUUUGAUCCCCACAGUCACCACCAUUGUGUCCUUGAGUAAGACACUUAACUCCAGGUUGCUCCGGGGGGAUUGUC